CCUACGGGAGGCUGCAGUGGGGGAUAUUGCACAAUGGGGGAAACCCUGAUGCAGCGACGCCGCGUGUGGGAAGACGGUCUUCUGGAUUGUACACCACUGUCGCCAGGGACGAACAUGACGGUACCUGGGGAGGAAGCUCCGGCUAACUACGUGCCAGCAGCCGCGGUAAUACGUAGGGAGCAAGCGUUGUCCGGAAUUACUGGGUGUAAAGGGAGCGUAGGCGGGGAUGAAAGUUGGGUGUAAAAACUACCGGCUCAACCGAUAGUCGCACCCAAAACUGCAACUCUUGAGUGAAGUAGAGGUAGGCGGAAUUCCUAGGGUAGCGGUGAAAUGCGUAGAUAUUAGGAGGAACACCAGUGGCGAAGGCGGCCUGCUGGGCUUUUACUGACGCUGAGGCUCGAAAGUGUGGGGAGCAAACAGGAUUAGAUACCCUAGUAGUC
rnacentral:rRNA from 1 species